UGGCGACCUUAGCGCUGUGGUCCCACCUGAAUCCAUAUCGAACUCAGAAGUGAAAGGCAGCAGCGACGAUGGUAGUGUGGGGUCUCCCCAUGUGAGAGUAGGACAUCGCCAAGCG
rnacentral:rRNA from 1 species